rnacentral:rRNA from 1 species
CCUACGGGAGGCAGCAGUGGGGAAUAUUGGACAAUGGGGGCAACCCUGAUCCAGCGAUGCCGCGUGAGUGAUGAAGGCCCUAGGGUUGUAAAACUCUUUCGUCAGGGAAGAUAAUGACGGUACCUGAAGAAGAAGAUCCGGCUAACUCCGUGCCAGCAGCCGCGGUAAUACGGAGGGGUCUAGCGUUAUUCGGAAUUACUGGGCGUAAAGCGAGCGUAGGCGGAUUUGUAAGUUGGAGGUGAAAUCCCAGAGCUUAACUCUGGAACUGCCUUCAAAACUACAUUUCUUGAGUUUGGUAGAGGAGAGUGGAAUUCCUAGUGUAGAGGUGAAAUUCGUAGAUAUUAGGAGGAACACCAGUGGCGAAGGCGACUCUCUGGGCCAAUACUGACGCUGAGGUUCGAAAGCAUGGGUAGCGAACAGGAUUAGAUACCCCAGUAGUC